GGGUGGUAAUGCCGGAUGCUCCAGUUGAUCGCAUGGUCUUCUGGGAAAGCUUUCGCGGUAUGGGAUGGGGUCGCGUCCUAUCAGCUUGACGGCGGGGUAACGGCCCACCGUGGCUUCGACGGGUAGCCGGCCUGAGAGGGCGACCGGCCACAUUGGGACUGAGAUACGGCCCAGACUCCUACGGGAGGCAGCAGUGGGGAAUAUUGCACAAUGGGCGCAAGCCUGAUGCAGCGACGCCGCGUGAGGGAUGGAGGCCUUCGGGUUGUAAACCUCUUUUAUCGGGGAGCAAGCGUGAGUGAGUUUACCCGUUGAAUAAGCACCGGCUAACUACGUGCCAGCAGCCGCGGUAAUACGUAGGGUGCAAGCGUUAUCCGGAAUUAUUGGGCGUAAAGGGCUCGUAGGCGGUUCGUCGCGUCCGGUGUGAAAGUCCAUCGCUUAACGGUGGAUCCGCGCCGGGUACGGGCGGGCUUGAGUGCGGUAGGGGAGACUGGAAUUCCCGGUGUAACGGUGGAAUGUGUAGAUAUCGGAAAAGAACACCA
rnacentral:rRNA from 1 species